rnacentral:rRNA from 1 species
UACGAAGGGGGCUAGCGUUGCUCGGAAUCACUGGGCGUAAAGGGUGCGUAGGCGGGUCUUUAAGUCAGGGGUGAAAUCCUGGAGCUCAACUCCAGAACUGCCUUUGAUACUGAAGAUCUUGAGUUCGGGAGAGGUGAGUGGAACUGCGAGUGUAGAGGUGAAAUUCGUAGAUAUUCGCAAGAACACCAGUGGCGAAGGCGGCUCACUGGCCCGAUACUGACGCUGAGGCAGGAAAG